GGAGGAAGUAACUUGUGGAAUGCUGAGAAAGGUCCCAUGCUGGUUUUAAGCAUAACCAUAUCAGCUUAAUAUAAAACCAUGGACUUCCUAAAAUUAGAGAACUUAAAACAACGGAGAUGAAGCUACAUGAAAGAGACCCUGGAUUAUUAACCAUGUGGAGCUUUAAUGAAGAUUUGCUCUUCUGCCAUCACUGUGAGAGUAUUCCUGAGCCAGCCAGCUGGAGGGAAAAACAGGAGGAGCAGGGCUGAGUCGCACCAGUCAUAUACGUGUGGCCAUCUUGUAUCAUCUUUAAUGCUAUUUCAUCUAAGUCUGAAAGUGGAGAAGUCUUGAGAAAAGGCUGAGUGUUGCAGAGUCCUAACUGAGGGCAGUUGGCUUCCCCAAGAAAGUGAGACACCUUGGAAAGGCUGACUCUGACCUGCAGUGACCAUAUAUCAGUUCCAUAUGACAGAAUGUCUCCUUCCAAUGGAUGUUGAUCACCUUGUCACCUGUUGCCUAAAUGACCUUGUCUAUUGUCCAUUAUUUUGAUGUAUCCAGAGGGGCAACAAAUCACUCUCCUAGCUGCACAAUCAUUCUCCUGGUAAAUGUAUUAGGCUUACCAAAGAAACGUACAAAAUCCCAUCUGAGAAUGGUCAGUUUUCCAAGCUGAACUACAUCAUGAAGUAAACCUCAAGAUCAAGAAAGUGA
rnacentral:lncRNA from 1 species